rnacentral:rRNA from 1 species
UGAGGAAUUUUGCGCAAUGGCCGCAAGGCUGACGCAGCGACGCCGCGUGAGGGAAGAAGGCCUUCGGGUCGUAAACCUCUGUCUAGAGGGAAGAAACCAUUGAGGUCGAACAGGCCUCUUUGCUGACGGUACCUCUGAAGGAAGCACCGGCUAACUCCGUGCCAGCAGCCGCGGUAAUACGGAGGGUGCGAGCGUUAAUCGGAAUCACUGGGCGUAAAGCGCACGUAGGCGGUGUCGUAAGUCGGAUGUGAAAGCCCUCGGCUCAACCGGGGAACUGCAUUCGAUACUGCGAUGCUUGAGUGCCGGAGAGGGUGGCGGAAUUCCAGGUGUAGGAGUGAAAUCCGUAGAUAUCUGGAGGAACACCAGUGGCGAAGGCGGCCACCUGGCCGGCAACUGACGCUGAGGUGCGAAAGCGUGGGGAUCAAACA